UCGCCCUACGGGACGCAGCAGUAGGGAAUCUUCCACAAUGGGCGAAAGCCUGAUGGAGCAACGCCGCGUGGGUGAAGAAGGUCUUCGGAUCGUAAAACCCUGUUGUUAGAGAAGAAAGUGCGUGAGAGUAACUGUUCACAUUUCGACGGUAUCUAACCAGAAAGCCACGGCUAACUACGUGCCAGCAGCCGCGGUAAUACGUAGGUGGCAAGCGUUAUCCGGAUUUAUUGGGCGUAAAGGGAACGCAGGCGGUCUUUUAAGUCUGUUGUGAACGACUUCGGCUUAACCGGGGUAGUGCAUUGGAA
rnacentral:rRNA from 1 species